ensembl:snRNA U6 U6 spliceosomal RNA
GUCCUGCCUUUGGACAGAAGCUUCCUCGAUUUUCCACAGCAGCACAUACAUUAAAAUUAGAACAACAGAGGGAAAAUUAGCAUGGUCUCUAAGCAAGAGUGCCAUGCAAAUUUGUGAAGCAUUUAAUUUUUUA